UUAAAUUGAAGAGUUUGAUCAUGGCUCAGAUUGAACGCUGGCGGCAGGCCUAACACAUGCAAGUCGAACGGUAACAGGAAGAAGCUUGCUUCUUUGCUGACGAGUGGCGGACGGGUGAGUAAUGUCUGGGAAACUGCCUGAUGGAGGGGGAUAACUACUGGAAACGGUAGCUAAUACCGCAUAACGUCGCAAGACCAAAGAGGGGGACCUUCGGGCCUCUUGCCAUCGGAUGUGCCCAGAUGGGAUUAGCUAGUAGGUGGGGUAACGGCUCACC
rnacentral:rRNA from 1 species